rnacentral:rRNA from 1 species
GACAGAGGGUGCAAACGUUGCUCGGAAUCACUGGGCGUAAAGGGCGUGUAGGCGGGUAGAUAAGUCGGGCGUGAAAUCCCUAGGCUCAACCUAGGAACUGCACUCGAAACUGUUUAUCUUGAGUGCCGGAGAGGAAAGCGGAAUUCCUGGUGUAGAGGUGAAAUUCGUAGAUAUCAGGAGGAACACCAGUGGCGGAAGGCGGCUUUCUGGACGGUAACUGACGCAUGA